CCUACGGGGGCAGCAGUGAGGAAUAUUGGUCAAUGGACGAGAGUCUGAACCAGCCAAGUAGCGUGAAGGAUGACUGCCCUAUUGGUUGUAAACUUUCUUUAUUAAGGAAUAAAACCAGGCCCGUUUUCCUUUUUUCCUUUUCCUUUUUAAUUAAGAUCGGCUAACCCCGGUCCAGCAGCCGCGGUAAUACGGAGGAUCCGAGCGUUAUCCGGAUUUUUUGGGUUUAAAGGGAGCGUAGAUGGGUUGUUAAGUCAGUUGUGAAAGUUUGCGGCUCAACCGUGAAAUUGCAAUUGAUACUGGCAGUCUUGAGUACAGUUGAGGUAGGCGGAAUUCGUGGUGUAGCGGUGAAAUGCUUAGAUAUCACGAAGAACCCCGAUUGCGAAGGCAGCUUACUAAACUGUGACUGACAUUGAUGCUCGAAAGUGUGGGUAUCAAACAGGAUUAGAUACCCCUGUAGUC
rnacentral:rRNA from 1 species